rnacentral:rRNA from 1 species
GAUGAACGCUAGCUACAGGCUUAACACAUGCAAGUCGAGGGGUAACAAGAGAAAAGCUUGCUUUUCUUGUUGACGACCGGCGCACGGGUGAGUAACGCGUAUCCAACCUGCCUAUAACUAGGGAAUAACCUUGCGAAAGUAAGACUAAUACCCUAUGAUUUCCUUUGAUGACAUCAGAUUAGGAAUAAAGAUUUAUCGGUUAUAGAUGGGGAUGCGUCUGAUUAGCUUGUUGGCGGGGUAACGGCCCACCAAGGUAACGAUCAGUAGGGGUUCUGAGAGGAAGGUCCCCCACGUUGGAACUGAGACACGGUCCAAACUCCUACGGGAGGCAGCAGUGAGGAAUAUUGGUCAAUGGGCGGAAGCCUGAACCAGCCAAGUAGCGUGCGGGAUGACGGCCCUAUGGGUUGUAAACUGCUUUUAUACAGGAAUGAAGUUAGCUACGUGUGGUUAUUUGUAGGUACUGUAUGAAUAAGGACCGGCUAAUUCCGUGCCAGCAGCCGCGGUAA